CUCUUGUUUAAAUAGACUUUCAGUGUUUGUUGUUGAAAGUUUGGAAAGUGCAUCUGAAAAUCACAAUAUUUCUUUCAAUGUUGAUUCUGGAUUUAAUUCGAGUCUUGAAAUAUUGAAUCUUAGAAAAAGCAAUUAGUGAUCAAUUGAAGAAUACAAUACUUUUAAAAUUAGCACUGUUAGAACUGCCUCGCUGUUUAAUAGUCCUGUCUUAUUUAUCCCAGCACACUCUUAAUACAUGAGUUUGAUUAUUCCUGGACACAAAUAAAAUGGAUUUGUUAAGGAACAAGGCAGUUCUAUACAGUACUGACUCAUGGGAGGGUUGUGUUCUUCAGUUGUUUUUUUUAUCAUUCAAUUUCGGAAUUAAGAAAGCUUUCCCAACUUGAAAACAAACAGUUAAGGUCGAGAUAAGCUAGGAUAUUGCCUUUACUGUAUUAGAAAGUAGAACUUAUUUGAAUAUGGAUGAACUGAAGCAGCAAACUAUACUUAAUUUUUUUUUGGGGGGGGGGGGAUGUGAGAUAUUGAAAAUGAAAGAAAAUUGAUUGUCAUGCAUGGCAAGGAAAACCACAACCAGACUACUGCAUGAUGUUCUUUGGAAUAUGUUUUGUAUUAUAGGGAAGGAAAAACAAUCAGUAUUGAAAACUAUAUAUUAAUUAACAAUUAUUCGCCGAAGGAGAGGGUGACUAUCGGUGAAUAAAAACCGAGACAAAGUCGAGGUUUUUAUUCAUGAUAAUCACCGAGCCUGAGGUGAAUAAUUUUUUUAUUGUAUAAUUCCACAGGUGAUUAUUUGGGAGGAAAAAAAUACACAUUUCUUUGUCAUUUAAUUGACAAAACAUAAGGUGAAGCAAUCCAAUAAUUGGAAUAUUGAG